AUCGACGUUUCAGUCCUACUUGAGGACUUUCAUCAGGAUUAUAUGAACCGUUCAUAUAAUCCUGAUGAAAGUCCUCAAGUAGGACUGAAAUG